CUUGUACUCCCUCAGCCCGAAAAUACUUGUCAUUGAAAUGGAUGUAUCUAGAUGUAUUUUAGUUCUAGACACAUCCAUUUUGAUGACAAGUAAUUCCGGACGGAGGGAGUACUUG
rnacentral:pre_miRNA from 1 species